UACGUAGGGUGCGAGCGUUAAUCGGAAUUACUGGGCGUAAAGCGUGCGCAGGCGGUUCGUUGUGUCGGCGGUGAAAUCCCCGGGCUCAACCUGGGAAUGGCCGUUGAAACUGGCGAACUGGAGUGUGGCAGAGGGGGGUGGAAUUCCGCGUGUAGCAGUGAAAUGCGUAGAUAUGUGGAGGAACACCAAUGGCGAAGGCAGCCCCCUGGGAUAAUACUGACGCUCAUGCACGAAAGCGUGGGGAGCAAACAGG
rnacentral:rRNA from 1 species